GAUGAACGCUGGUGGCGUGCCUAAUACAUGCAAGACGAGCGAAUGGAUUAAGAGCUUGCUCUUAUGAAGUUAGCGGCGGACGGGUGAGUAACACGUGAGUAACCUGCCCAUAAGGCUGGGAUAACUCCGGGAAACCGGGGCUAAUACCGGAUAACAUUUUGAACCGCAUGGUUCGAAAUUGAAAGGCGGCCUCGGCUGUCACUUAUGGAUGGACCCGCGUCGCAUUAGCUAGUUGGUGAGGUAACGGCUCACCAAGGCAACGAUGCGUAGCCGGCCUGGGAGGGUGAUCGGCCACACUGGGACGGAGACACGGCCCAGACUCCUACGGGAGGCAGCAGUAGGGAAUCUUCCGCAAUGGACGAAAGUCUGACGGAGCAACGCCGCGUGAGUGAUGAAGGCUUUCGGGUCGUAAAACUCUGUUGUUAGGGAAGAACAAGUGCUAGUUGAAUAAGCUGGCACCUUGACGGUACCUAACCAGAAAGCCACGGCUAACUACGUGCCAGCCGCCGCCGUAA
rnacentral:rRNA from 1 species